rnacentral:rRNA from 1 species
AGCGAACGCUGGCGGCAGGCUUAACACAUGCAAGUCGAACGGGCACUUCGGUGCUAGUGGCAGACGGGUGAGUAACGCGUGGGAACGUGCCUUUCGGUUCGGAAUAAUCCAGGGAAACUUGGACUAAUACCGGAUACGCCCUUCGGGGGAAAGAUUUAUCGCCGAAAGAUCGGCCCGCGUCUGAUUAGCUAGUUGGUGAGGUAAAGGCUCACCAAGGCGACGAUCAGUAGCUGGUCUGAGAGGAUGAUCAGCCACAUUGGGACUGAGACACGGCCCAAACUCCUACGGGAGGCAGCAGUGGGGAAUAUUGGACAAUGGGCGCAAGCCUGAUCCAGCCAUGCCGCGUGAGUGAUGAAGGCCUUAGGGUUGUAAAGCUCUUUUGUCCGGGAAGAUAAUGACUGUACCGGAAGAAUAAGCCCCGGCUAACUUCGUGCCAGCCGCCGCCGUAA